AUUGAACGCUGGCGGCAUGCCUUACACAUGCAAGUCGAGCGGCAGCGCGGGGGCAACCCUGGCGGCGAGCGGCGGACGGGUGAGUAAUGCAUCGGAACGUGUCCUCUUGUGGGGGAUAACCAGUCGAAAGACUGGCUAAUACCGCAUGAGCUCGUAAGAGGAAAGCAGGGGACCCGCAAGGGCCUUGCGCGAGAGGAGCAGCCGAUGCCCGAUAGCUAGUUGGCGGGGUAAAAGCCCACCAAGGCGACGAUCGGUAGCUGGUCUGAGAGGACGACCAGCCACACUGGGACUGAGACACGGCCCAGACUCCUACGGGAGGCAGCAGUGGGGAAUUUUGGACAAUGGGGAAACCCUGAUCCAGCCAUGCCGCGUGUGUGAAGAAGGCCU
rnacentral:rRNA from 1 species